AUUGAACGCUGGCGGAAUGCUUUACACAUGCAAGUCGAACGGCAGCACGGACUUCGGUCUGGUGGCGAGUGGCGAACGGGUGAGUAAUGUAUCGGAACGUGCCCAGUCGUGGGGGAUAACGUAGUGAAAAUUACGCUAAUACCGCAUACGAUCUAUGGAUGAAAGCGGGGGAUCGCAAGACCUCGCGCGAUUGGAGCGGCCGAUAUCAGAUUAGGUAGUUGGUGGGGUAAAGGCCCACCAAGCCAACGAUCUGUAGCUGGUCUGAGAGGACGACCAGCCACACUGGAACUGAGACACGGUCCAGAAUCCUACGGGAGGCAGCAGUGGGGAAUUUUGGACAAUGGGCGAAAGCCUGAUCCAGCCAUUCCGCGUGCAGGAUGAUGGCCCUCGGGUUGUAAACUGCUUUUGUACAGAACGAAAAGGUUUCUACUAAUACUAGGAGCUCAUGACGGUACUGUAAGAAUAAGCACCGGCUAACUACGUGCCAGCCGCCGCGGUAA
rnacentral:rRNA from 1 species